CUUAAAAUAGGACCACCAGCUGCAGUCCGUGUUUUGCGCCUUUUAUUAAAGUACACAUGCUUUCACGCAGAGAUUAAUUUAUUUUCGUGAAAAUCACGUGAGUUGGUGAAACGCGUGUUUGCUUGUUUAUUAUUGAACCUUUUCCAAACCCCAAAAAGUGACUGAACAAUAAGUGGCUUUGCGACACACUUGCAAUAAUGUUUGAACCGAUUUGUGUUAUGCUAUAUCAAUGCGAAUCAAAGAGAAGUAAUCCCUGCUUGAGGUUUAGUAAACUACAGCUAAAAGAUUGCAGGAGGAUUGAAAUCGUGGAUAUGACGUGGUGUUCCAAUUUUUAGAGACCCACCGGCUCAUCAUCAUCAGGCCAUUCAUCAGCUACUAAUUUAAAAAAUUUUUAACUUUUUAAAUUUUUUGAUUUUUUUC